AAUGAAUGGUAGCAUCUCAGUAAUGCUACAGAUUCCUGAUUAUGCUGUGGGGAAGCCAACCUUGGAGAGUUGAACAUU